UACAGAGGGUGCGAGCGUUGUUCGGAAUUACUGGGCGUAAAGCGUGCGCAGGCGGCUUUGCAAGACAGAUGUGAAAUCCCCGGGCUUAACCUGGGAACUGCAUUGGUGACUGCAUCGCUCGAGUAUGGCGGAGGGGGGUAGAAUUCCACGUGUAGCAGUGAAAUGCGUAGAGAUGUGGAGGAAUACCGAUGGCGAAGGCAGCCCCCUGGGUCAAUACUGACGCUCAUGCACGAAAGCGUGGGGAGCAAACAGG
rnacentral:rRNA from 1 species